GUGCCAGCAGCCGCGGUAAUACGUAGGUGGCAAGCGUUAUCCGGAAUUAUUGGGCGUAAAGCGCGCGUAGGCAGUUUUUUAAGUCUGAUGUGAAAGCCCACGGCUCAACCGUGGAGGGUCAUUGGAAACUGGAAAACUUGAGUGCAGAAGAGGAAAGUGGAAUUCCAUGUGUAGCGGUGAAAUGCGCAGAGAUAUGGAGGAACACCAGUGGCGAAGGCGACUUUCUNGGUCUGUAACUGACGCUGAUGUGCGAAAGCGUGGGGAUCAAACAGGAUUAGAUAC
rnacentral:rRNA from 1 species